GCUUAACCGGAGAAGUACAUUGGAAACUGGGAAACUUGAGUGCAGAAGAGGACAGUGGAACUCCAUGUGUAGCGGUGGAAUGCGUAGAUAUGUGGAAGAACACCAGUGGCGAAGGCGACUGUCUGGUCUGUAACUGACGCUGAGGCUCGAAAGCAUGGGGAGCGAACAGGAUUAGAUACCCUGGUAGUCCAUGCCGUAAACGAUGAGUGCUAAGUGUUGGAGGGUUUCCGCCCUUUAGUGCUGCAGCUAACGCAUUAAGCACUCCGCCUGGGGAGUACGGCCGCAAGAUUGAAACUCAAAGGAAUUGACGGGGGCCCGCACAAGCGGUGGAGCAUGUGGUUUAAUUCGAAGCUACGCGAAGAACCUUACCAGGUCUUGACAUCUUCUGACAAUCUUAGAGAUGAGGCUUCCCCUUCGGGGACAGAGUGACAGGUGGUGCAUGGUUGUCGUCAGCUCGUGUCGUGAGAUGUUGGGUUAAGUCCCGCAACGAGCGCAACCCUUGAUAUCAGUUGCCAGCAUUCAGUUGGGCACUCUGGUGUGACUGCCGGUGACAAACCGGAGGAAGGUGGGGAUGACGUCAAAUCAUCAUGCCCCUUAUGACCUGGGCUACACACGUGCUACAAUGGGACGGAACAACG
rnacentral:rRNA from 1 species